AAUUAGCCCCGAUUGAAGUGAUACCAUGUUUAACGAAAAGCGGGAACUGCC
rnacentral:sRNA from 1 species